rnacentral:lncRNA from 1 species
GCUCUUUACAGGACUUAUUUUUUUUUAAGAGAGAAAGAGGUAUUAUAUAAUACUGAUGUAAUAGAAUGCAGUUGGAGUUCCAGCAUGCAAUAGAGUAACUAUGGUAUUCUUGAAAAGGCAGAUUCUCAGUUAAAAUCUUCCCAUUUUAGAAAAACAAGGAGGCUCAAAUUAUGUUACGUUGAUAUCUGUAGAUUGCUCAGUAUUGUCCAGGACCGUGGGAGUGCAUGAGCAAGAAUACGGGGGGGCUCUGGUUCCACAUCCUUGUUUUACAAGUAAGGAAACUGAGGCACAGAGACAUUCCCUGCUCAAGGUUCAUAGCUGCUCAGUCCAGGUCCUCAUAGCUGCUCAGUCAGGUCCUCAUAGCUGCUCAGUCCAGGUCCUCAUAGCUCAGUCCAGGUGCUCAUAGCUGCUCAGUCCAGGUCCUCAUAGCUGCUCAGUCAGGUGCUCAUAGCUGUUCAGUCCAGGUCCUCAUAGCUGCUCAGUCACGUGCUCAUAGCUGCUCAGUCCAGGUGCUUAUAGCUGCUCAGUCCAGGUCCUCAUAGCUGCUCAGUCCAGGUCCUCAUAGCUCAGUCCAGGUCCUCAUAGCUGCUCAGUCCAGGUCCUCAUAGCUGUUCAGUCCAGGUCCUCAUAGCUGUUUAGUCCAGGUCCUCAUAGCUGUCAGUCCAGGUCCUCAUAGCUGUCAGUCCGGGUGCUCAUAGCUGUCAGUCCAGGUCCUCUGCCUCCAGUAUGCAGAACUCUGCACACGGGAGGAGGAAGCUUCUGUCUGCGGCUCUCAGCUUCCUCUUCAUCCGUGAAGGGAGCAGUCGGCGAGUGUGAGUGGGUGUCCAGGCUGCCUCCUGGGGCCUCAUGCUGUUUAAAAAACAUCCACC